UGAUUAUUGCUUAUCGAAGGUAGAUAUC
rnacentral:sRNA from 1 species